CCAGCUUAUUUUUCAGCUUCAAGACAAGGUCUACUGUUUCUACUUCUGUGUGUUUCUGGAUCCAGAGAAAAAACUGCCCUUCAAUUCUAAUCUCACCUCAAAAACAGAAUGAGGAAACUAUUUCUGUGAUCAAGAAAGCUGAAACCAAAGGCGUGGUCCAUGGAAUAGACCUUGACCUAGUGAAAGGAGCGCCUACACUCAACUGUAUCUCUGCUACUCAAAUUCAAAUGCCUUUCUAGGUCUCUUUACUUUGCUUUCAAGCUCAGUCUUGGUGUAAAUCUAUCACCUUCAAUAUAACUGGAUAAAUAUGUAAACUUUCAUUCACACUAAUAAACGUGAAAUGUAAGCUCUACAGAAACAAAAA
ensembl:lncRNA DENND6A-AS1 DENND6A antisense RNA 1